AAAGUGUUCCAGGCAGCCGCCGCCUGCGUUGUCUCUCAUCGUCACGCGUUGACGGGGAAAGGGGGCAGGGGGAGGAAAGUCCGGACUCCACAGGGCAGGGUGAUGGCUAACGGCCAUCCGUGGCGACACGCGGAACAGGGCAACAGAGAACAGACCGCCGAUGGCCGUUGCAUGCUCGCAUGCAACGGAUCAGGUAAGGGUGAAACGGUGCGGUAAGAGCGCACCGCGGCUGGGGCGACCCAGACGGCACGGUAACCUCCACCCGGAGCAAUUCCAAAUAGGCAGGCACGGCGCCGGUAACGGCGUCACGACGGGGCCCCCGUCGGUCUGCGGGUAGGGAGCUCGAGCGCAUCAGCAAUGGUGCGUCUAGAUGAAUGGCUGUCGCGCGCUUCGCGGCGCGAACAGAAUCCGGCUUAUCGGGACACUUUGCCC
rnacentral:RNase_P_RNA from 2 species